rnacentral:rRNA from 1 species
UACGUAGGGGGCAAGCGUUGUCCGGAAUCAUUGGGCGUAAAGAGCGUGUAGGCGGCUUGGUAAGUCCGCUGUGAAAGUCCAGGGCUCAACCCUGGAAUGCCGGUGGAAACUGUCAAGCUUGAGUCCGGAAGAGGCGAGUGGAAUCCUGGUGUAGCGGUGAAAUGCGCAGAUAUCAGGAGGAACACCAAUGGCGAAGGCAGCUCGCUGGGACGGUAGCUGACGCUGGAGACGCGAAAGCGUGGGGAGCAAACAGG